GACGAACGCUGGCGGCGUGCUUAACACAUGCAAGUCGAACGGUAAGGCCCCAGCUUGCUGGGGUACACGAGUGGCGAACGGGUGAGUAACACGUGGGUGACCUGCCCCGCACUUCGGGAUAAGCCUGGGAAACUGGGUCUAAUACCGGAUAGGACCGCACCGUAAGGGUGUGGUGGAAAGUUUUUCGGUGUGGGAUGGGCCCGCGGCCUAUCAGCUUGUUGGUGGGGUAAUGGCCUACCAAGGCGGCGACGGGUAGCCGGCCUGAGAGGGUGGACGGCCACAUUGGGACUGAGACACGGCCCAGACUCCUACGGGAGGCAGCAGUGGGGAAUAUUGCACAAUGGGCGGAAGCCUGAUGCAGCGACGCCGCGUGGGGGAUGACGGCCUUCGGGUUGUAAACUCCUUUCACCAUCGACGAAGGUUUUCUGACGGUAGAUGGAGAAGAAGCACCGGCUAACUACGUG
rnacentral:rRNA from 1 species